AUGCAAGUCGAGGGGCAGCAUGGUCUUAGCUUGCUAAGGCCGAUGGCGACCGGCGCACGGGUGAGUAACACGUAUCCAACCUGCCGUCUACUCUUGGACAGCCUUCUGAAAGGAAGAUUAAUACAAGAUGGCAUCAUGAGUCCGCAUGUUCACAUGAUUAAAGGUAUUCCGGUAGACGAUGGGGAUGCGUUCCAUUAGAUAGUAGGCGGGGUAACGGCCCACCUAGUCUUCGAUGGAUAGGGGUUCUGAGAGGAAGGUCCCCCACAUUGGAACUGAGACACGGUCCAAACUCCUACGGGAGGCAGCAGUGAGGAAUAUUGGUCAAUGGGCGAGAGCCUGAACCAGCCAAGUAGCGUGAAGGAUGACUGCCCUAUGGGUUGUAAACUUCUUUUAUAAAGGAAUAAAGUCGGGUAUGGAUACCCCGUUUGCAUGUACUUUAUGAAUAAGGAUCGGCUAACUCCGUGCCAGCAGCCGCGGUAAUACGGAGGAUCCGAGCGUUAUCCGGAUUUAUUGGGUUUAAAGGGAGCGUAGAUGGAUGUUUAAGUCAGUUGUGAAAGUUUGCGGCUCAACCGUAAAAUUGCAGUUGAUACUGGAUAUCUUGAGUGCAGUUGAGGCAGGCGGAAUUCGUGGUGUAGCGGUGAAUGCUUAGAUAUCACGAAGAACUCCGAUUGCGAA
rnacentral:rRNA from 1 species